GGUAUUUUACAGUCUAUGGGUAGAACGCAGCGUGUUGUGGUAGGAGUGGCAAUCUUCGCGCAUGUCAAUAAAGACGAAGCAGGGAAAGUGGGUCUCUCUUUCUGGAAAAAGAACCGAUGAGGACGUGUGGUGCCUGUGUGCGUUCGCAGCAAGAUUCAGUAAAUGUAAAAUUCCUCGUUUAUGUGACAGAUUGUCUUUUGGAGUAGAUGGUGGAUAUGUACUGGUCUAUUGAGGCAUCAUGCCUUUUGGAUGGUGGAUGGUGCCGGAUGUAUAGCUGUGGUGUUGGCAUCAUGCCUUUUGGAUGGUGGAUGGUGUCGGAUGUAUAGCUGUGGUGUUGGCAUCAUGCCUUUUGGAUGGUGGAUGGUGCCGGAUGUAUAGCUGUGGUGUUGGCAUCAUGCCUUUUGGAUGGUGGAUGGUGCCGGAUGUAUAGCUGUGGUGUUGAUGGGUUGGCCCAGCAGGGUGGUGAUGACAUGGGCCGGAGGGGUCUCCUAUAGCACGAUUUGAUGGGCCAUGAUGUGGACCUGAAGAUUGAACCCCCCUGGGGGUGAGUGUCUGCCUGUGAACUGAAUGUUGACUUCAUCUUUGAUUUAUUACUGUACGUGGAGUAUGAAGAGCUAAGUCUGGAUCCUGUGGUGAGUGUGUCCUCUGGGUUCAAUGUAGCUAAUACAUGGUUUUAUUUGGGUCUGUUUUUUUUUUACUACUGGUAUUGCGGUCAUGUAUAUUGGCCCCAUUUGUCUAAACAGAGUAUGUUAGUUACACAAGUCAGGUUCACUGACGUGUUGUCUGACAUUCCUUCAGGUUGGUUUGUGAGUUGCAGUAAAUGCAUAUCUUGUUGGUGAGUUCUUUCCUGGUAUUGCAUGUUGAACUGGAUUGUUAAUGUUCAGUACUUGCUGGAACUGUGAUGUCUUCUGACACAUUUCUGCAGACUCACCCUGCUGUAAAGCCAUUCAUCUGAGAUUCCUGCAUUAUGAAAUGUGUAGAAUAUUUGUAAAAUAGUUCAAGGAAGUGAGUUGUCUUUUUGAGAAGCUUAACAUAGAUUUGACUAAACUUUUGGUGAGUUUGACUUCUGUUCACACUUUGCCCAAGCUUCUGAGAUGGAUAUAUCUAUUUUUUUUAAGGUGACUACAGACUGUCAAAAGUACUGCCUGGUUGAACUACUGGUUAAAUGUUACAUUUUAAUGUGAUUUUACCCUGUAUGAUGUAAAUGAUUAAAGUUGAUCUCACAGUUAA